rnacentral:rRNA from 1 species
UGGGGAAUUUUGCACAAUGGGCGAAAGCCUGAUCCAGCCAUGCCGCGUGUGUGAAGAAGGCCUUCGGGUUGUAAAGCACUUUUAUCCGGAACGAAACGCGCAGGGUGAAUAGCCUUGCGAACUGACGGUACCGGAGGAAUAAGCACCGGCUAACUUCGUGCCAGCAGCCGCGGUAAUACGAAGGGUGCAAGCGUUACUCGGAAUUACUGGGCGUAAAGCGUGCGUAGGUGGUUUGUUAAGUCUGUUGUGAAAGCCCCGGGCUCAACCUGGGAAUGGCAAUGGAUACUGGCAAGCUAGAGUGCGGUAGAGGGUAGUGGAAUUCCCGGUGUAGCGGUGAAAUGCGUAGGUAUCAGGAGGAACACCGGUGGCGAAGGCGGCUUCCUGGCAUGUAACUGACACUCAUGUUCGAAAGCGUGGGUAGCAAACAGGAUUAGAUACCCUGGUAGUCCACGCCCUAAACGAUGGGCACUAGGUGUGGGAGGUAUCGACCCCUUCCGUGCCGCAGCUAACGCAUUAAGUGCCCCGCCUGGGGAGUACGGCCGCAAGGUUG